rnacentral:rRNA from 1 species
CAGUAGCCGCGGGAAUACGUAGGGUGCGAGCGUUAAUCGGAAUUACUGGGCGUAAAGCGUGCGCAGGCGGUUCGUUAAGACAGAUGUGAAAUCCCCGGGCUUAACCUGGGAACUGCAUUUGUGACUGACGGGCUAGAGUAUGGCAGAGGGGGGUAGAAUUCCACGUGUAGCAGUGAAAUGCGUAGAGAUGUGGAGGAAUACCGUGGCGAAGGUGGCUCACUGGUCCAUUACUGACGCUGAGGUGCGAAAGCGUGGGGAGCAAACAGGAUUAGAGACCCCCGUAGUCCCUGUCUCUUAUACA